GAUGAACGCUAGCUACAGGCUUAACACAUGCAAGUCGAGGGGUAACGAGAGGAAAGCUUGCUUUCCUUGUCGACGACCGGCGCACGGGUGAGUAACGCGUAUCCAACCUGCCCCCAACUAGGGAAUAACCUUGCGAAAGUAAGACUAAUACCCUAUAAUUUCCUCAGAUGCCAUCUGACGAGGAAUAAAGAUUUAUCGGUUGUGGAUGGGGAUGCGUCUGAUUAGCUCGUUGGCGGGGUAACGGCCCACCAAGGCAACGAUCAGUAGGGGUUCUGAGAGGAAGGUCCCCCCCAUUGGAACUGAGACACGGUCCAAACUCCUACGGGAGGCAGCAGUGAGGAAUAUUGGUCAAUGGGCGGAAGCCUGAACCAGCCAAGUAGCGUGCAGGAUGACGGCCCUAUGGGUUGUAAACUGCUUUUAUACAGGAAUAAAGUUAGCCACGUGUGGUUAUUUGUAGGUACUGUAUGAAUAAGGACCGGCUAAUUCCGUGCCAGCCGCCGCGGUAA
rnacentral:rRNA from 1 species